GUGCUCGCUUCGGCAGCACACACUCCACAAUGGGAACCAUACAGAGGAGAUUGGCAUGGCCCCUGUGCAAGGCUGACGUGUGGAUUCGUGAGCUGGUCCACAUUUUU